GACAGCUUGGUGCCACAUGGCAGAGGAACCAGGAUAAAAAAAAAUGAGCCGGACUUGUGGAUUGUAGAGUGCGCGGCGAAACAGCCGGGGAGAAGUUUGCGGAGCGGUGACACCGAGAUCCUCUGGCUGCACUGAGUCGCUGCAGGGGAGGACGGACAGACGGAGGGACAGACGGAGGGACACCGGGGUUGCAGCCACUCAGGGGCACCUGUGGGGUGAGCACCAGCUGCGGAGCAUCCUGUCCCCUCUGCGCCAGCCAUGUCCCUGGGGGUGAAGGAGAAGAACCACGUCCGGUUGGUCUUCUUGGGAGCUGCCGGCGUGGGCAAGACAUCCCUCAUCCGCCGCUUCCUGAUGGACACCUUCGAGCCCAAGCACCGGCGCACGGUGGAGGAGCUGCACAGCAAGGAGUACGAGGUGUGCGGGGCCACGGUCAAGGUGGAAAUCCUGGACACCAGCGGCAGCUACUCCUUCCCGGCCAUGAGGAAGCUCUCGAUCCAGAACAGCGACGCCUUCGCCCUGGUCUACGCCGUGGAUGACGCCGAGUCCUUCGAGAGCGUGAAGAGCCUGCGGGAAGAGAUCCUGGAGGUGAAGGAGGACAAGUUCCCCCCCAUCGUGGUGGUCGGCAACAAGGCGGAGAGCGGCGGCGAGCGGCAGGUGCCGGUGGAGGACGCCCUGUCGCUGGUGGAGCUGGACUGGAACAGCCGCUUCGUGGAGACGUCGGCCAAGGACAACGAGAACGUCCUGGAGGUGUUCAGGGAGCUGCUGCAGCAAGCCAACCUGCCCAGCCGGCUCAGCCCUGCGCUCUGCAAGAGGAGGGAGACCCUGCCCAAGGAGCAGGCGCUCAGGCCGCCCAUGAACAAGACCAACAGCUGCUCCAUGUGCUGAGCCGGCCGCCCUGGGGCCGGGAGGA